AACGAACGCUGGCGGCGUGGCUAAGACAUGCAAGUCAAACGGUCCAGUUUUUAUUUGUUUACAAAUUCUGCUGGAUAGUGGCGAAAGGGUGAGUAAUGGAUAGGUAACGUACCCUGUGCUUCGGGAUAGCGUCUGUUCACCUUCGGGUGAACUUCCGAAAGGGGCAGUAAUACCGAAUCAUAUCAGAAGUCGAUAGGCUUCUGAUCAAAGAUUUAUCGGCACAGGAGCGGCCUACCUCCUAUCAGCUUGUUGGUGAGGUAAUGGCUCACCAAGGCUACGACGGGUAGCGGGACUGAGAGGUUGACCCGCCACAUCGGGACUGAGACACUGCCCGGACCUCCACGGAGGGCUGCAGUAACGAAUCUUGCGCAAUGGGCGAAAGCCUGACGCAGCGACGCCGCGUGCGGGAGGAAGUCCCUCGGGAUGUAAACCGCUGUCAGGGGGAAGAAAGUCCACUCCGGUGGAUUGAUCUAACCCACAGGAAGUACACGCUAAC
rnacentral:rRNA from 1 species